rnacentral:lncRNA from 1 species
GGACUGGCCACCCCUCAGAGCCUGGUUCCUCUCUACCCAGUACAGCCAGUAGAGGACUGGUCACCCCUCAGAGCCUGGUUCCUCUCUACCCAGUACAGCCAGUAGAGGACUGGUCACCCCUCAGAGCCUGGUUCCUCUGGUCUACCCAGUACAGCCAGUAGAGGACUGGUCACCCCUCAGAGCCUGGUUCCUCUGGUCUACCCAGUACAGCCAGUAGAGGACUGGUCACCCCUCAGAGCCUGGUUCCUCUGGUCUACCCAGUACAGCCAGUAGAGGACUGGUCACCCCUCAGAGCCUGGUUCCUCUGGUCUACCCAGUACAGCCAGAAGAGGACUGGCCACCCCUCAGAGCCUGGUUCCUCUCUACCCAG